UGGGGGAGACCUCGGAGGUGAUCAACCAGCAGUCGUCCCGCUUCCCCUAAGGCUCUCUCUCUCUCUCUCCUAUAUAUAUAUAUAUAUAUAUAUAUAGGUAUGAAUAUACAUGUGUGUGUGCGCGCGCGUGUAUAUUAUAUCUCACUACAUCUUGUUUCAAUUCUCUUGGCACUGAUUCUGGCGUCAUAUUUUAGGUAUGCAAAAGCUUUGUCUGUGUUUUUUUUUUCCUUCCUUUGGCAAUUCUUAUUAUUAUUGCCUGUCUUUAUCACCAAAACUAUCAUUUUUCAUUUCUUUAGAUGUACUUCUAUGGAGCAUAUGGGGUGUUCGGAUAAGUUUCUUUCUUAGCUGUAGAUGUCAUAUGAGCUUGAUAAAAUGAAUAAAUAAAUAAAAACCAGUUUCAAAACUGUCAAUUUUGCUAUAUAUCGAGUUUGUUAUUCUUGAGAGUUGGGGGUGGUGAACGUGCAUACGUACAACCAUUGCAAAAUACUAGGUACACGGUUUGGGCGGAUUAUUCGGAGUAGGUAUCAUCGACUGUUAUGAGCUUCAAAUAGGAUCCGAAACUCUAUUGUUUUUUAAAUUGGAUGUGAGAAUUUCAUUAACGAAAACAAUCUUAGAAGAAUCAAGACGGCAAACCUUCCAAACAGGCACAAUCCGGGGGGAUUUUUCCAACAGCUACAAAGCAUGGUGUUAAGAGGAGUUUGCUGUACAGAUAAAAAUUGGGAGCUUCGGACAUCAAAUACUAUGUAAAACAGUAGAAAAGGUCGACGAAUACCUUGAAAAUCUGUAAAGUUUCUUUCUUACCAUAUCUAGUAUAUAAUGUAGGCCCAAGCAAGCUUUCUAACUAAGUUGCCAAGUGAUUUACCACUAGAUUUUCCAAUGAGCUGCGAGAUUUCAAAAUUUCAUUUGUGUGGUGGUCUAGAAAUACACUUAGAUGAUAUACCUGCAGCCAAAUGUGGCUAGAGUAGGAGCAGAGAAAGAAGAUGUGAAGUAUAUAUUUUGUUUUUUGAUGGCAGAAGCAGCAAACAGCUAUUUUUUUUUUUUUUUUAGGGAGAGCAAGAAGGUAAUUUUACCUUCCAAACUCACCUAGACAAACAACUAAUGAAGAUGGAAUAAAUCUUCAUUUACUAAGCGUAUCUUUAGUUCUCAGUUUCUUUUCUAUUGCCAUCAGUAAGAUAAUUAAAGUUGUGCCGAAACUCUAUGAUUCACUUAGUUCUUUUACAAGUUUUGAGGGAAAAUUUUUUUCUCUCUGCACAGUUCUCAAUAAAUUUCUCUAUCUAUCUCUCUCCACUCAUUACAUCAAAAAAACCUUUUCAAAAUUCAAAACCAAACAAAGUGAUGCUUACAUUUUGGGCUCAAAUGAGGAAUGCCAGAAAACAUGUCUAUUAGUUAGUAUGUAGAUAGUUUAAAUGUAGUUGGCUAGAUAUAUGUUGUCAUGAUUACUUAUGAACUCAUGACUUUCAUGGUAGGACUCCCAUAUUGGAAUCAGGGCGACUUGGAAGAGGGGGAUGGUUUGGCCAGGAAAGCAUAAGAAGUCUGGUGUAACUGAGUUUCCUCAAACAACUCAUCCAAACAAUUGCGUUUGAGAUAUGAUUUUUCAUUGAAUUCAAUGAUUAAGCCUUGGUUUUUGUUGCCCCACUUCAGUCUGGUCUUUGUAAGCCUCUCACUGGCCCUGUCCUAUGCUCCUAUUUUUCUUGGAUUGCAGUCCCUUCUACGUGCCAACGUAUAGAAAACUUAUGUGCAAUACCCCGUAUAUUAAAAAUAUGUAUAUUUGCAUGUAAGUAUUAGGUGGCAUAGUAGUGAGGGUGUGUGCACGUGAGAUGCUAGGAUGUGUCAGGACAAAACUUGUCUUGGAUAAGACUUGCAUAUAUACAUGUUAGAUACUGGGUUUUUAUAAAGGAAAUCUGAAACGGCAAGUAUCACAAAAUACAGAGAGGGUCAAGAGAAAAAAGAGAAGCGGUGGGGGGUGGAGCAAUCGUCCGACCGAUCAUGGUGAUGCGUAACGUAGCAAUUUCAGUUGGUGGUUCACGGUGGAGGGAUGUACAUAUUGCAGCAACGAUACUUACUUAAGGUACUCAAGCCAGGAAGUAUAUAAUAUGCUCUAAAUCUCGGGAGUAUUCUUUUUGCAUGUCUUUAUAUUCCGCUUGACCGUUAUUUUAUUUAUUGAAUCCAUAAAUUCAUUGUUGGAGCUGAGUUAUGUGGUGGGUUGGGGCUGGGUGCCGAGGAAUUGUUUGGUAUGUGGCCGAGUGAUUUUGUCUACUGUGCUAACGGCCCGAGAAGCCUCAUAAUAGGCUGGGUAUGGCAAGUGAAGCCGGUCACUAGUCAGAUACUGAGGAGGACCUGAUAUUGAGGUCGUAUUAGGCUGGGUGUGGCAAGUGAGGCCGGUCAUUGGUCAUAUACUGAGGAGGACCUAAUAUUGAGGUCGUAUUAUGUAGCUUAUUGUUGACUUCGUGUCGCUAAUUGGUUGGUCUCAUUUAUUGUGAGAAUAUCUGUUCUCAUCAUAUUGUAUACUUCAUAAGGGUUUGUGUUGCAGGUUAGCUGUUGGCGCGAGGACAGUGGGAUGAGCGUUUGGAAUUUGAGCUGUUAGACUUUUUUUUUUUAAAACACUGUUGUAGGAGUAAAAGAUAUUCUUUUUAGAAUAAAUGAUUAGAAAUCUGUUACUUUGCUUUGUGGUGCUUGUGGUUCCGAGUCGUCACAUUAUGUGAGUAGAUCAUUGUUGUUUGUCAUUUAGACAGUAGAAGCAUCUGAUUUUUUGGGGAAAAUUUUACGUUGUGUUUUGAAUACUUUAGCUUUUUGGUUCUAAGAUUGGUGUUUUUAUUGAAAUUUCUUAGUUCACUUUGUUUGCUAUUUUGCUGUUGUAAAGGCAGUUGGAUUCUGUUGUGGAGUUGCCCUUGACAGCAGAAAAGGUGGAGGUUGUGUUGGAUGAAAUUCGACCAUAUGUUAAUUGUUGAUGGCGAGAUCGAUGGCAAUGUCAUGAGGUUGAAGCUGCAAGGAGCAUGAGGCUCCUGUCCAAGUUAGGUAACAAGUAUGAGAUGAGAAUCAAGCAUUGUUUAAUGGAGUUUUUUCCUCAAGUAGUUGCGGUGGAACCCAAAGCAGAGGAGGAGAAGGCCUUGAGUUGAAUGAAGAAAACAUAGAUAAGGUCCGUCAAGAAAUACCGGCUACAUAGUCGGAGAACCUAGUGAAUCUCUUGAACUAGUAGCAAUCGAAGAGCCAAUCAGAAAAAUUCAAAUCACUGGGCCAGCUGCAGCUAUAACUACUGUUGGGGUGUCUGUCGCACGGAAACUACGGAAGAAAAUACCAUCCAUUGCAGCACUUCACGUUCCAUAAUGCUCAGACUUUCAUGUUUAGCUUGGGGUCUUUCAUGAUUAAAGAAGGGUGUUAGGGAAGACAUUUUCUCAUAAAUAUUGAAGACCCAGAAUGGGACUGGGUUGGCCAUGAUUAGUGAACUUCGGUUGACAAAUAUUGCACUUUGUAUAGUUUUGUUGUUACUGUAAUAGUGCGACAGUUUAUUCAUAGAAAUUCUAUUGAUUGUAUAAGAUUUUAUAAGCAGAAUGUCAAUAUUUACAAGGACAACGUGGUUUUUAUCUUUCUAAAAA